AGUCAAUAGAUACCCCGGUAGUCCACGCCGUAAACGAUGUCGACUUGGAGGUUGUGCCCUUGAGGCGUGGCUUCCGGAGCUAAACGCGUUAAGUCGACCGCCUGGGGAGUACGGCCGCAAGGUUAAAACUCAAAUGAAUCGACGGGGGCCCGCACAAGCGGUGGAGCAUGUGGUUUAAUUCGAUGCAACGCGAAGAACCUUACCUACUCUUGACAUCCAGAGAACUUUCCAGAGAUGGAUUGGUGCCUUCGGGAACUCUGAGACAGGUGCUGCAUGGCUGUCGUCAGCUCGUGUUGUGAAAUGUUGGGUUAAGUCCCGCAACGAGCGCAACCCUUAUCUUUUGUUGCCAGCGGUUAGGCCGGGAACUCAAAGGAGACUGCCAGUGAUAAACUGGAGGAAGGUGGGGAUGACGUCAAGUCAUCAUGGCCCUUACGAGUAGGGCUACACACGUGCUACAAUGGCGCAUACAAAGAGAAGCGACCUCGCGAGAGCAAGCGGACCUCAUAAAGUGCGUCGUAGUCCGG
rnacentral:rRNA from 1 species